rnacentral:tRNA from 1 species
GGGCGGAUAGUUCAGUGGUAGAACGCUGCGCUUACAUCGCAGAGGCCAUAGGUUCAAAUCCUAUUCCGCCCACCA